CCUACGGGAGACAGCAGUAGGGAAUAUUGGUCAAUGGGGGAAACCCUGAAGCAGCAAAGCCGCGUGGAGGAUGAAGGUCUUCGGAUUGUAAAACCCUUUUGGCCGAGAAGAUAAUGACGGUAUCUAACGAAUAAGCACCGGCAAACUCCGUGCCAGCAGCCGCGGUAAUACGGAGGGUGCAAGCGUUACUCGGAAUCACUGGGCGUAAAGGGCGCGUAGGCGGGGUAGCAAGUCAGAUGGGAAAUCCUAUGGCUUAACCAUAGAACUGCAUUUGAAACUGCUAUUCUAGAGUAUGGGAGAGGUAGGUGGAAUUCGUGGUGUAGGGGUGAAAUCCGUAGAGAUCAAGAGGAAUACUCAUUGCGAAGGCGGCCUGCUAGAACAUUACUGACGCUGAUGCGCGAAAGCGUGGGGAGCAAACAGGAUUAGAUACCCGGGUAGUC
rnacentral:rRNA from 1 species